GCAAACUUGGUCAUUUAGAGGAAGUAAAAGUCGUAACAAGGUUUCCGUAGGUGAACCUGCGGAAGGAUCAUUAACAAUUGUCCAACCAUAAUGGAUAAUUUUUAUCCAUAUCCACCUUGUGUGAAUUCAUUGAAAUGUUUAUUGGCAGGUUAGGAGGCUUCUAUUGGUGAAACUCCGUGGGUUUUUUUGUCGGCUCGGCCUGCCAAUUUUAUUAUGUUUAAACAUGUCUAAAUAAUUACUGGUCUGAAAUUGUAUAUUUUUAUAUAAUAAAAUACAACUUUCAACAACGGAUCUCUUGGCUCUCGCAUCGAUGAAGAACGCAGC
rnacentral:misc_RNA from 1 species